rnacentral:rRNA from 1 species
GUGUCAGCAGCCGCGGUAAUACGGAGGGAGCUAGCGUUGUUCGGAAUUACUGGGCGUAAAGCGCACGUAGGCGGCUUUUCAAGUCAGGGGUGAAAUCCCGGGGCUCAACCCCGGAACUGCCCUUGAAACUGGAUGGCUAGAAUACUGGAGAGGUGAGUGGACUUCCGAGUGUAGUGGUGAAAUUCGUAGAUAUUCGGAAGAACACCAGUGGCGAAGGCGACUCACUGGACAGUUAUUGACGUGGAGGUGCGAAAGCGGGGGGAGCAAACAGGAUUAGAUACCCUGGUAGUCCACGCCGUAAACGAUGAUAACUAGCUGCUUGGGUUCAUGGAACUUGGGUGGCGCAGCUAACGCAUUAAGCAUUCCGCCUGGGGAGUACGGUCGCAAGAUUAAAACUUAAAUGAAUUGACGGGG